rnacentral:rRNA from 1 species
AAAUUGAAGAGUUUGAUCAUGGCUCAGAUUGAACGCUGGCGGCAGGCCUAACACAUGCAAGUCGAACGGUAACAGGAAGCAGCUUGCUGCUUCGCUGACGAGUGGCGGACGGGUGAGUAAUGUCUGGGAAACUGCCUGAUGGAGGGGGAUAACUACUGGAAACGGUGGCUAAUACCGCAUAACGUUGCAAGACCAAAGAGGGGGACCUUCGGGCCUCUUGCCAUCAGAUGUGCCCAGAUGGGAUUAGCU